GCGCCCAUAGCUCAGCCGGAUCAGAGCAUCGCUCUUCUAAAGCGAGGGUCGCAGGUUCGAGCCCUGCUGGGCGCG
rnacentral:tRNA from 1 species